rnacentral:misc_RNA from 1 species
AAGUGGGUAUGGGGUGGCGCGAAACGAGCAAAAGGCAAAGACUUGGAUUGCAAAAGCUUCGAGGUAUCGCUCCUCUGCUUGGAAGGUUUGUGACAAGCGCCCAGGCUAUAAUGCUAGUGACUCGGACUCAGAGGAGGUUAAUGAAGAUUCAAAGUGAUGACUAGAUGCGACUUCAGUACAAUAGAAGGAUGACAUAUAUCUGUGCGCAUAUCGUAGCGGUUUCCUCUUGUGGAUGUUAUUUCACUUCACUGUUUUUUUUAAUUGGGGGAGGGUGGAGCGAUGUUUAUUAUUAAUAUACCAUCUUAUUAGUUGACUCUUUGAUGUCUUAUU